rnacentral:rRNA from 1 species
UACGUAGGGGGCAAGCGUUGUCCGGAUUUAUUGGGCGUAAAGAGCGUGUAGGCGGCUUUACAGGUCCGUUGUGAAAACUCGAGGCUCAACCUCGAGACGCCGGUGGAAACCGUAAAGCUAGAGUCCGGAAGAGGAGAGUGGAAUUCCUGGUGUAGCGGUGAAAUGCGCAGAUAUCAGGAGGAACACCCGUGGCGAAGGCAGCUCGCUGGGACGGUACUGACGCUGAGACGCGAAAGCGUGGGGAGCAAACAGG